GGAUGUGAGGGGCAUCUGGCUGCAACACCUGUCACCCCAUUGAUUCCACUGAUCUGGCUGGCUAGGCCAGUGUCCCCUUCCUCCCUUACUGCUCCACAUGCAUCCCUCCUGAACCUGUGUGCUGAGUCAAAGAGGACAGCCAUCCCUCAGCCAAGGGCAUACCAGCUGCACUCCCCUGUGGAACCUCCAGACAAGCUCUUAAGUUAUCAGAUACCUUUGUAACUGGAAAGACUAAUUCCAAAAGAAAGGAAAUUUUUCCGUCUCU
rnacentral:snRNA from 1 species